rnacentral:rRNA from 1 species
CCUACGGGUGGCAGCAGUGAGGAAUAUUGGUCAAUGGACGAGAGUCUGAACCAGCCAAGUAGCGUGAAGGAUGACUGCCCUAUGGGUUGUAAACUUCUUUUAUAUGGGAAUAAAAUGUUCCACGUGUGGGAUUUUGUAUGUACCAUAUGAAUAAGGAUCGGCUAACUCCGUGCCAGCAGCCGCGGUAAUACGGAGGAUCCGAGCGUUAUCCGGAUUUAUUGGGUUUAAAGGGAGCGUAGGUGGAUUGUUAAGUCAGUUGUGAAAGUUUGCGGCUCAACCGUAAAAGUGCAGUUGAAACUGGCAGUCUUGAGUACAGUAGAGGUGGGCGGAAUGCGUGGUGUAGCGGUGAAAUGCUUAGAUAUCACGAAGAACUCCGAUUGCGAAGGCAGUUCACUGGACUGCAACUGACACUGAGGCUCGAAAGUGUGGGUAUCAAACAGGAUUAGAUACCCGUGUAGUC